AUGAAGCAAGGAUUGAUGACAGCCAUGUCAUCUGUUUCGCAGCUGCUGCUUCUCCUGCUGUGCAGCUACUAUUCUGCCGUUGCCCGUGCUGAAGCCGUCUGCGCCGAGCAACCAGGUACGUACAGCGACUCCCUCGUCGUCCAGUGGACCCACGGUGCCGCUGAACCACCGCUCCGGGCCAAGUACGUGCAACGGAAGUUCUCUGGGACCGACGGGCUCCAGCCAUUGGAUCUCACCGUGCCGACCGAGCUGGGACUCGCCCUCGGCACGCUGCAGUACGUGAUCACCGUCGGCAUCGGCUCCCCUGUCGUGACCCAGACCAUGAUGGUCGACACCAGCGGCGACGUGUCGUGGGUGCACUGCCGCUCCCCGACCGGGUCGACGCUCUUCGACCCCAGCAAGUCGGCCACCUACGCCCCCUUCUCCUGCAGCGCCGCGGAGUGCACGCAGCUCGGCAACAAUGGCAACGGCUGCUCCGACUCAACGUGCCAGUACGUUAUCGAGUACACUAAUCAGCCGAACAACACCGCGACGUACGGCUCCGACACGCUGGUGCUGAGCUCCUCCGACACGGCCGAGAACUUCCAGUUCGGUUGCAGGCAGGAUGAGGCGGAGGUGGAGGACAGCAUGGACGGGCUCAUGGGGCUCGGCGGCGACGUGCAGUCGCUCGUGUCGCAGACGGAGGCGACGUACGGCAAGGCCUACUCGUACUGCCUCCCGCCGACCAAUGCCACGUCCGGGUUUCUCACGCUCGGCGCGCCGAAGGACACGUCGGGCUUCCUGUCAACGCCGAUGAUCAGAUGGGAACAGGUGCCGACGUUCCAUGGCGUGCUCCUGCAGGACAUAGUUGUGAACGGGACGCAGCUCAACAUACCGCCUUCCGCCUUCGCCGCCGGGUCGUUGGUGAGCUCCGGUGCGUACAUUACGCGGCUGCCGCCGGCGGCGUACACGGCGCUCAAGACGGCGUUCAAGGCCAGCAUGAUGCAGUACAAGACGAUGCCGGCCAGGAGCAUACUGGACACGUGCUUCGACUUCACAGGGCUGGAGCUGGACAGCAUCACAGUGCCGGACGUCGCGCUGGUGUUCGACGGCGGCGCGGUCGUCAACCUCGACCGUAGCGGGGUCAUCAUAGGCAACUGUCUCGCGUUCGCUGCCAUCACCAACCCCAGCGGCGUCCCCAGCGUCAUCGGCAACGUGCAGCAGCGGACGCUGGAGGUGUUGCUCAACGUCGGCCAGAGCGUCGUUGGGUUCCGGCCAGGCGCAUGCUGA
rnacentral:rRNA from 1 species